UACGGGGGGAGCUAGCGUUGUUCGGAUUUACUGGGCGUAAAGGGCGCGUAGGCGGUCAGCACAAGUCAGUUGUGAAAUCUCCGAGCUUAACUCGGAAAGGUCAACUGAUACUGUGCGACUAGAGUGCAGAAGGGGCAACUGGAAUUCUUGGUGUAGCGGUGAAAUGCGUAGAUAUCAAGAGGAACACCUGCGGCGAAGGCGGGUUGCUGGGCUGACACUGACGCUGAAGUGCGAAAGCCAGGGGAGCGAACGGG
rnacentral:rRNA from 1 species